UACGGAGGGUGCAAACGUUGCUCGGAAUCAUUGGGCGUAAAGCGCGCGUAGGCGGCUGGACAAGUUGGAUGUGAAAGCCCUGGGCUCAACCUAGGAUGUGCAUUCAAAAACUGUCCGGCUUGAAUCUCGGAGGGGGUCAGAGAAUUCCCGGUGUAGAGGUGAAAUUCGUAGAUAUCGGGAGGAACACCAGUGGCGAAGGCGCUGACCUGGACGAUGAUUGACGCUGAGGCGCGAAAGCGUGGGGAGCAACAGG
rnacentral:rRNA from 1 species